rnacentral:rRNA from 1 species
UACCAGCACCCCGAGUGGUCGGGACGAUUAUUGGGCCUAAAGCAUCCGUAGCCGGUUCUACAAGUCUUCCGUUAAAUCCACCUGCUUAACAGAUGGGCUGCGGAGGAUACUAUGGAGCUAGGAGGCGGGAGAGGCAAGCGGUACUUAGUGGGUAGGGGUAAAAUCCGUUGAUCCAUUGAAGACCACCGGUGGCGAAGGCGGCUUGCCAGAACGCACUCGACGGUGAGGGAUGAAAGCUGGGGGAGCAAACCGG